rnacentral:rRNA from 1 species
AUUGAACGCUGGCGGCAGGCCUAACACAUGCAGGUCGAGCGGAUGAAGGGAGCUUGCUCCUGGAUUCAGCGGCGGACGGGUGAGUAAUGCCUAGGAAUCUGCCUGGUAGUGGGGGAUAACGUCCGGAAACGGGCGCUAAUACCGCAUACGUCCUGAGGGAGAAAGUGGGGGAUCUUCGGACCUCACGCUAUCAGAUGAGCCUAGGUCGGAUUAGCUAGUUGGUGGGGUAAAGGCCUACCAAGGCGACGAUCCGUAACUGGUCUGAGAGGAUGAUCAGUCACACUGGAACUGAGACACGGUCCAGACUCCUACGGGAGGCAGCAGUGGGGAAUAUUGGACAAUGGGCGAAAGCCAGAUCCAGCCAUGCCGCGUGUGUGAAGAAGGUCUUCGGAUUGUAAAGCACUUUAAGUUGGGAGGAAGGGCAGUAAGUUAAUACCUUGCUGUUUUGACGUUACCAACAGAAUAAGCACCGGCUAACUUCGUG